rnacentral:rRNA from 1 species
UGCGUAGGCGGCUUAGCAAGUCAGAAGUGAAAGGCAUUGGCUCAACCAAUGUAAGCUUUUGAAACUGUUAGGCUUGAGUGCAGGAGAGGAAAGUGGAAUUCCUAGUGUAGCGGUGAAAUGCGUAGAUAUUAGGAGGAACACCAGUGGCGAAGGCGACUUUCUGGACUGUAACUGACGCUGAGGCACGAAAGCAUGGGGAGCAAACA